CAGUAGGGAAUCUUCCGCAAUGGGCGAAAGCCUGACGGAGCAAUGCCGCGUGAGUGAUGAAGGUUUUCGGAUCGUAAAGCUCUGUUGCCAGGGAAGAACGCUUGGGAGAGUAACUGCUCUCAAGGUGACGGUACCUGAGAAGAAAGCCCCGGCUAACUACGUGCCAGCAGCCGCGGUAAUACGUAGGGGGCAAGCGUUGUCCGGAAUUAUUGGGCGUAAAGCGCGCGCAGGCGGUCAUUUAAGUCUGGUGUUUAAUCCCGGGGCUCAACCCCGGAUCGCACUGGAAACUGGGUGACUUGAGUGCAGAAGAGGAGAGUGGAAUUCCACGUGUAGCGGUGAAAUGCGUAGAUAUGUGGAGGAACACCAGUGGCGAAGGCGACUCUCUGGGCUGUAACUGACGCUGAGGCGCGAAAGCGUGGGGAGCAAACAGGAUUAGAUMCCCSCCGGUAKAUCNAA
rnacentral:rRNA from 1 species